AGAGUUUGAUCCUGGCUCAGAUUGAACGCUGGCGGCAUGCCUUACACAUGCAAGUCGAACGGUAACGCGGGGCAACCUGGCGACGAGUGGCGAACGGGUGAGUAACGCAUCGGAACGUGCCCAGUAGUGGGGGAUAGCCCGGCGAAAGCCGGAUUAAUACCGCAUACGACCUACGGGUGAAAGCGGGGGACCGUAAGGCCUCGCGCUAUUGGAGCGGCCGAUGUCAGAUUAGGUAGUUGGUGGGGUAAAAGCCUACCAAGCCGACGAUCUGUAGCUGGUCUGAGAGGACGACCAGCCACACUGGGACUGAGACACGGCCCAGACUCCUACGGGAGGCAGCAGUGGGGAAUUUUGGACAAUGGGCGCAAGCCUGAUCCAGCCAUGCCGCGUGCGGUAUGAAGGCCUUCGGGUUGUAAACCGCUUUUGUCAGGGAAGAAACGCUCCGGGCCAAUACCCUGNGGUAAUGACGGUACCUGAAGAAUAAGCACCGGCUAACUACGUGCCAGCAGCCGCGGUAAUACGUAGGGUGCAAGCGUUAAUCGGAUUACUGGGCGUAAAGCGUGCGCAGGCGGUUUUGUAAGACAGAGGUGAAAUCCCCGGG
rnacentral:rRNA from 1 species